CCAAGUGCUGUAGAGAAAGACUGAUCUUCUAAAGUUUCACCUUUAAUUUAGAAUAUAUCCUGUAGGUCCACAAAAAUAAAAAAAGAGGAAAAAGUAUAGUUCUUUUCUCAAAAUGUAAAUAUGUUAGUUCAUACACUUCAUUACACAAGGUGUGUGUGUGUGUGUGUGUGUGUGUGUGUAUGCACGCGCACACAUAGGCAGAUCCCUCUAAAAGAUAGUUAUUUUUUUAAAUACAUAAUUAGAAAGAAAGCUACAUGUUUACCUGUGAGUGGCUGUUAAUUGAUUCAGAACUAAAGAGGAUUAAGUACAUAGACGUUAAUAUGUCCACUGUUAUUAAUUUCCAAACAACAAUAGCAACAUUAUCCUGAAUAAAUCUGUUACUAGUACGGAUAAAUAGUUGUUUAAGACUCCACUGAUGUCAGAACUGAAAUCCAUAGGUCAGGACUUACUUCACCAAUCCAGUCCUUAGGAACACAAGUUUUGAAUGUGACCCCUUUGUUUUCAUCCUGCUGGAACGGGACCCCAUAGGCACCUGACAAAUAUCUCAAGACAAGCUGUGACCCUGAAAGUCUAGCGCCGACUUCAUUCAGCAGUGUUCAUCAGCUCGGUGUGCCGGAAGAGCUACAGACUUCCCCAGUUCUUGUUCGACAUCAACCUGGGAGUAUUCCUUGACUAAGUCGUUCAGCUCUUGGCAGAACAAUCAGAUUCCCUAUUGUACCCCGAAGCUGGUCAAUCACAGCUGCACUCUUACACCACCCGCCUACAGCCUUUGUGUCUGUAACACAUCCACAAACGCUCUGGAAUAAACACAAAAUUUCUACGUUGCUCUGUUGAUCUCAGCAAUGCAGUGAAACAGGUCGGUCUCCUGCAUGGAGGAGGCAUCAUUUUCAAAAAUAUGCACAGGCAUCAGAAACAUAUGCAUCAUUCCCAAGACUUGGGAAGCUGACUUGAGAAUCCUCAAGGAUCUAGAAAACGAAGGAACAAUUGUGUCUCCUUAAAUGUAUUACCAUCUCAUUCUUUUCUUUCAGCUGCUCAACAGACAUUUACAAAGUCAGGUCACAGAAUGGCUGCCAUACAACCUCGAUUUUCUGCAAGGCUCGCCAAGCUAAUCGUGAUUAGCUGCUACAGACAGAAGAUAGGGCCGGUGAAGAAAGUCCAAACAAUGGAGUCUAAUGUGAGACCACAAAGGCUUUCAUGUUGAGAAUGUAACCUCUUGUGAGAUAGAUUCAGCAGCCUCAAGCUUAGAAAACUCCAGGAAAGUUCUUCAGUUUCUCUGAGGAAGAGAUUGGCUGAGUGAAACCAUGUCAAAUAGGUGGAGCGAGUGACAUCUAAGUAAACACAGAUCCCCAGAUGGCUACCCACCGGCCUCCUGUCCCUGAAGCUCUCCUCCGAGUAGACAUUGCUUCAGAACAACUCUGGAGCCAACACUGACGUCAAACAAGAGUACAUGUGGAAUGACCCAUAGCUCCAGCUGCAUAUAUAGCAGAGGAUGGCAUUGUCUGGCAUCAAUAGAAGGAGAAGCCCUUGGUCCUGUGAAGACUGGAUGCUCCAGUGAAAUACAUCUUUGCCUUUGAACAAUACGAGGCCUAAGUGUCAUGUGACUUAGCAUCCUGGCUGCAUGUGUCAUGCAUAAUUUCCUUCACUUUAAUAGUACUGUGUUUAUUUUUAAAAGAAAAAGAACUAGAAAAUAUUAUCCUUAUAAAAGAGACACAUGGUAUGUACUCACU
rnacentral:sRNA from 1 species